UACGGAGGAUCCGAGCGUUAUCCGGAUUUAUUGGGUUUAAAGGGAGCGUAGAUGGGUUGUUAAGUCAGUUGUGAAAGUUUGCGGCUCAACCGUAAAAUUGCAAUUGAUACUGGCAGUCUUGAGUACAGUUGAGGUAGGCGGAAUUCGUGGUGUAGCGGUGAAAUGCUUAGAUAUCACGAAGAACUCCGAUUGCGAAGGCAGCUUACUAACCUGUAACUGACAUUGAUGCUCGAAAGUGUGGGUAUCAAACAGGAGGAGAGACCCCGGGAGGCCGGCGGACUGACU
rnacentral:rRNA from 1 species